rnacentral:rRNA from 1 species
ACGGAAGGCAGCAGUGGGGAAUAUUGGGCAAUGGGCGAAAGCCUGACCCAGCGACGCCGCGUGAGGGAAGAAGAUCUUCGGAUUGUAAACCUUAGUCAACAGGGACGAAGAAAGUGACGGUACCUGUGGAGGAAGCCACGGCUAACUACGUGCCAGCAGCCGCGGUAAUACGUAGGUGGCGAGCGUUAUCCGGAAUUACUGGGUGUAAAGGGUGUGUAGGCGGGUCUGCAAGUCAGAUGUGAAAACUAUGGGCUUAACCCAUAGCCUGCAUUUGAAACUGUGGAUCUUGAGCGUGGGAGAGGUAAGUGGAAUUCCUAGUGUAGCGGUGAAAUGCGUAGAUAUUAGGAGGAACACCAGUGGCGAAGGCGGCUUACUGGACUGUAACUGACGUUGAGGCUCGAAAGCGUGGGGAGCAAACAGGAUUAGAUACCCUGGUA